AUGAGUUCAUCUAAGAAGAAUGCCAAAGGAGUCACCGGUGAAUUUUCAUAUGGUGACAUCAACACUCUACGAUGGACGGAGGUCCGGCCAUGUGAAUGGCCGCACCUUGCCUUCAUGGACGAAGCCAGAUUCCACCAAGAGUUCGCGCAAUUCAUUGCAAAUGCUGGACUUACCAAUUUCCUCCCAAAUGAGUGUGACCAACACCACGUCCUUACAAAUCCCUUUGUGCAAAAUUUCCAUUUCUUAAGUAGGAACGAGCCUCUUGAGGUGUGUUUUAAUUUAUACUCUGAAACUCGCCAAAUACCGCUUACUGAAUUUUGUGAGAUAUGUAUAAUUCCCUCUGAUGGGGAGUUAAGAGAACCUAGACCAGCGAAGUUUGAGGGUUUCUUCCGCACCCUAACUGUGGGUGAGGAAAGGGGCGCGUCGAAAGCCACCGCCACUAGUCUGUAG
rnacentral:rRNA from 1 species